rnacentral:lncRNA from 1 species
GAGGGGCUCGAGAAAAUCGAUCAGCUUAACAUCAUUACAUAAACAGCCUUAAAGCUAAAAUAUAAAUCUCAAUCGGUGUAAUCACUAUUAUGAAUCACUACUACAGCUUUCUUAAUUCUUUCUUUUAUUUUAUUUUUCUGACCAAAGCAAAGUAAAGGCCCUAAUUUUGUUUGGACCACACACAAAACAAUACAUUUUCCAAAUUAAAAGCAUGGAGUAAUCUUAAAGCUUGG